rnacentral:rRNA from 1 species
UACGUAGGGUGCAAGCGUUAAUCGGAAUUACUGGGCGUAAAGCGUGCGCAGGCGGUUUUGUAAGUCUGACGUGAAAUCCCCGGGCUCAACCUGGGAAUUGCGAUGGAGACUGCAAGGCUUGAAUCUGGCAGAGGGGGGUAGAAUUCCACGUGUAGCAGUGAAAUGCGUAGAGAUGUGGAGGAACACCGAUGGCGAAGGCAGCACCCUGGGUCAAGAUUGACGCUCAUGCACGAAAGCGUGGGGAGCAAACAGG